UUAUCAUUGUGCAAUCUAGAAGAAGUAUGAGACAGCUGAAGGAUUUAACCUUGGCUAUUUCCUGCCACUGCUCUUCAAGUGUCUUCCAUCGGGACAUGUCACCCUAGCCUCUCAGACUCUCCUAUUUCAAAGGAAAUUCUCCAGAAGCCUUUUCCUUUUCCCCUUGAGCAGAUUUCCCUUCAUGUGGUAAGGGAAUGGAAAUACACUGGUUGACCUGGACUAAUUAAAAAGUUCUCCUGAAGUUCACGGCCCUCCAGCAGACAAUACCAGGGUUCUAGAGGUGGCGUGGGGAUGGCCAUCUGAUACACAACCAAUGGUUGUCACACAUACAGUCAACAGAGAGUCACAGCCUCCUGACGGAUGAUUUCAUCACUGUGCACUCCACGUUUUCAGCACAGAAUGCUCCUGCUCUCUUUUAUUUCCUGGACCCAGUGAAAGAUGACUCAGGCAGAAAGAAAUUUCACUUUGGACAGCAUUAGGCUGUGCUUCUGGGCUUUGCCCAACAGAAGAGAACAAUGAG